rnacentral:rRNA from 1 species
CUUCUCUCUUUCAUUCAGUUGGUCAGCCGGUCGACGCCACCCAACAAUGCUGCAGCACUCGCCGCGCUUAUUGAUCAUUGGAGGCUGGAGACACACACUUUCUAUCUUCGGACCGGGGAGAUGACCGUGACGCUCCAGGAUAUUGCUAUGAUCAUCGGUCUUCCUAUCGAUGGGAAUCCUUUAUGUAUGAACACCGAUUCGGAUGGGUGGCAUGCGCAGAUGCAUGCCCUUAUUGGUAUGGUUCCUCCGGAGCCUCGGGAACCAGAAGCAGAAGACAAGAAGAAGGAAAGAGUCGCAGCCGGUGCUCCUUUCACGUGGAUUACAUCGCACUUUGGUACUUGCCCUGAGGAUGCUAAUGACGACACGGUGAAGACAUAUGCUCGUGUCUACAUGUAG